rnacentral:rRNA from 1 species
GCUUCCUACGGGAGGCAGCAGUGAGGAAUUUUGGACAAUGGGCGAAAGCCUGAUCCAGCCAUGCCGCGUGAGUGAUGAAGGCCUUCGGGUUGUAAAACUCUUUCAGAUGUGAGGAUAAUGACGGUAGCAUCAGAAGAAGCUCCGGCUAACUCCGUGCCAGCAGCCGCGGUAAUACGGAGGGAGCGAGCGUUAUUCGGAAUUACUGGGCGUAAAGCGUAUGUAGGCGGUUUUUUAAGACAGAUGUGAAAUCCCAGAGCUUAACUUUGGAACUGCAUUUGUGACUGGAAGACUCGAGUAUCGGAGAGGUUGGCGGAAUUCCUAGUGUAGCAGUGAAAUGCGCAGAUAUUAGGAGGAACACCGAUGGCGUAAGCAGCCAACUGGACGAUUACUGACGCUGAGAUACGAAAGUAUGGGGAGCAAACAGGAUUAGAUACCCUGGUAGUCCAUACCAUAAACGAUGUGUGCUAGCUGCUGGGACUCUUAGAGUUUCGGUGGCGCAGCUAACGCUUUAAGCACACCGCCUGGGGAGUACGGUCGCAAGAUUAAAACUCAAAGGAAUUGACGGAAGC